CGUGUUUGCGCGAGCGGGACAGGAAGUCUUCCUCUCACUUGGGCUGCUGUCGAACCGCAGAAGUGAAGAAUGGCCCAGCGACCUCAACACCCAGCAGGUGUGAAGAAGCACCACCUGACUGCCAUGUUCAGCAUCAUCGCUUCAUUUUCACUCGACCAGCCCACAUGGUCUCCUAGAGGCUGGCUGCAGAUUUAGAGCUGCCUCUCCAAAGCCUCUGUGACCAGAUGACACGAGGAGACCGGUCCUUGUCCCAUUGUGUCAGCACCAACGGAGGAGCUUCUACAGAUGAAGUCAGGAGAGGUCUGGGUCGGUACAUAUAGUAUACAGAUAGUCAGGUGUGGCAUCACAGAGUGAAAGACGGGCACACCACACAGGUUAACCAGGUUUCAGAUAUUGCAAUUAUAUUAAAAGGUUUCUUGAAUUGAUUCAGAAAGUCUUUUAUGUUUUGAAAAUUACUAUAAAGGCUUCUGCUAUUUAAAUGGAUUAUGGACAUACUGUUCUCCAGGUUAAUACUGCUGUUAAAUUAUUCCUGGGUAUAAUAGUUAUAGUUAUUGUUGAUGUCGAAAAAAAAGUUGUUUUCAGGAUCGAUGUCAUUUUCAACGUCUUGUCAGUGAUGUUCAGUGUAUUGAAAAGUAUUUAGCUGUAGAUCAUCGUGGUCCGUAAUAUUUUGUAAUAAAUUAUUGACUCCAGUAUGUGUGUAAGUUGUUCCUGUUGACAUAAGGAGUGGCUAGCAUCUGCAUACUUGGUUGAUGAUUACAUGUGUCUAGGUUGUUUUGGCGUGCUGCUGCGUGGAUGAAUAAUUAGUUUGUCAUGUCGUAUGUCAUAUUUCACUUGAUACUUCUACUUCAGAUGGUAAUAUUGUACAUUUUAGUCUGUUACAUUUAUUUGAAAUCUUUAGUUACUGCUUCAUUUGCAGAUAAUGAUUUUAAAUAUGAUACAUGUGAACAAUUUAGAAAACAGAAUAGAAGUCAAUCAAGUUGAAAUUGGCUCCACCUCAACCAGCUGCAACCAGAUAUUAAAAUGCUUCCUAUGUGUGAAUGCAUCAGAAAUACGAUACACAUGAUCAAUAUGCAUUUAAUUUCGCUUUCAAAGCGGCUGCUCUGCCCCUCUGUGUGUACUUUCACUCUUGAUACUGAAGAACUGAUAUUGAUAAUAAUAUUUUUGAUAAUAAAGUGAUAUUUUG